GGGGCUAUAGCUUAGAUGGGAGAGCACUUGCAUGGCAUGCAAGAGGUCGACGGUUCGAUCCCGUCUAGCUCCA
rnacentral:tRNA from 1 species